GCAGGGUUGGUAUAUCGGUAUUACAGCGGCUUCCCAAGCCGUUAAGGCGGGUUCGAUUCCCGUACCCUGCUCCA
rnacentral:tRNA from 1 species